UCCUGCUCGAGGUGGAGAAACUGCAGCAGCAGAAGGAGCCUCUACAGCAAACAGUCUGUUUAUUGAUAUUUUAUUAUGCUGUUUAGCAGGACCCUGGUGCCUGUAAUAAAGCAUUAAGGAAGUGUAGCAGCACAUUCUCAUUGAUCCCAUUCAGUGCUGUGAUAUUUCUGGGAGGACCAGGGAUGAAGAAAAGGAAUAAUUUUGCUCCCCUCCCCUGUGCUGAGCUGCUGAUGGCAAAAUGCCCUGGGAGCCUGAGGAUUAGCUGGAUUUAAUGUGACCCCCAGUUUGCUGUGGCUGUAGGUGCCAGGUGAUUUUUUCCAUCUGUGCUGCUCUGCCUCCCUGGACCUCAGAGCUGCAGAAAAAGCCCAUCCUCCCUCCAGGAGAUAUCUCCUGUUAAUGGCCAGUGAGUCCCAGGGCAUGACUGAUAAAAUUCCAUCAUCCCACUGGGAGAUGCUCCAGCCAGGGGAGGAGCCAAGCCUUUCCUACCCAGAUAAAAACUGACAUUUUGGACACCAAGGCACCUUCUUUCCACUGGAUUCCAGAGGAAAGCCAGACCUUUGCACAUCAUCCCUGGAGCUUCAGA